UGCAGGUACCCGUGCGAAUAAGGACCGGCUAAUUCCGUGCCAGCAGCCGCGGUAAUACGGAAGGUCCGAGCGUUAUCCGGAUUUAUUGGGUUUAAAGGGAGCGCAGGCGGAGAUGUAAGCCAGCCGUCAAAUCGUGGGGCUCAACCCCAUCCAGCGGUUGGAACUGCAUCCCUUGAGUGCACCAGAGGGCGGUGGAAUUCGUGGUGUAGCGGUGAAAUGCAUAGAUAUCACGAAGAACUCCGAUUGCGAAGGCAGCCAUCUGGCGUGUUACUGACGCUCAUGCUCGAAGGCGCGGGUAUCAAACAGGAUUAGAUACCCUG
rnacentral:rRNA from 1 species